rnacentral:rRNA from 1 species
AACUAACAAGGAUUCCCCUAGUAACUGCGAGUGAAGAGGGAUGAGCUCAAAUUUAAAAUCUGGCAGUUGUACUGUCCGAGUUGUAAUCUGAAGAAGCAUUUUCUGUGCUGGACCGUGUACAAGUCUCUUGGAAUCGAGCGUCAUAGAGGGUGAGAAUCCCGUAUAUGCCACGGACUACCAGUGCUAUAUGAUAUGCUCUCAAAGAGUCGAGUUGUUUGGGAAUGCAGCUCAAAAUGGGUGGUAAAUUCCAUCUAAAGCUAAAUAUUGGCGAGAGACCGAUAGCGAACAAGUACCGUGAGGGAAAGAUGAAAAGAACUUUGAAAAGAGAGUUAAACAGUUGUGAAAUUGUUGAAAGGGAAACGCUUGAAGUCAGUCGCGUUGCUGAGACUCAGCCUAGCUAUUUGCUUGGUGUACUUCUUAGUUAACGGGUCAACGUCAGUUUUGACUGGUGGAUAAAGGUUGAAGGAAUGUGGCUUCACUUGUGAAGUGUUAUAGCCUUCUUCUGUAUACACUGGUUGGGACUGAGGACUGCAGCACGCCUUCAUGGCCGGGGUUCGCCCACGUAACGUGCUUAGGAUGUUGGCAUAAUGGCCUUUAAACGACCCGUCUUGA